GCUUUAUACUCUUCGCCGAAAGUAACCGCCGCGCCCUAGGGCUCACCCAAGAUGGGAACGAGUUUGAACUCAGUAGUCGUCUCCUGUGAACCGGGACACCAAAGUCGCUCAGGGUAGAGAGGAUCUUAGCCACGAUGGCUAGACUGUUGCUGGUGAACUCGGUGGAGUUUUUCAUAGAGGAUGUAAGGUUCUUCGAGACUAUGGAAGUCUUGGACUCUGACUGGUUAGGGCUGAUCUCAGCGAGGGUGUCGAAACAUGUCUCGUAGUACGUUAUGGCUGCGGUGAGCCACGUCUUGAGAUCUUCUAUCUUACCAGAGUUCAAGAUGUUCUUACCGUCUCCUACCUCCAUGGAGGAGACAGUAUCGUUGACACUAUCCAUCGCCACGUCUAGCAUCUCAUCACAAACACGAAGGGCUGAUUUGAUCCCCUCAUCGUCAGUCUCUUCCGCUAGCUUCUUCGGCAAGUCGGAGAUGGAAGCGAGCUCGUCGACCACCACCUUCAGGGACAGCCUGAAGAUAACCACCGGAUCCGUCGUGUUGGACGAUGGAAUCUUCGAGAUGCUAGAGAUACAAGCAUCAGGGAACCGAGUGACGCUGCACACGCUCUUGAGCGAAGCAGCUGGAGUCAACUUGGGAGUUGAGCUAGGGGACGAGCCAUGUGGAUCGUUUUUCUGGCUACGAGCAACGGCGACGGCAGCGCCGAUGAUAAUACCGAGGAAAACCACGACGGAGGCUACCACAAUAAACAAACGUUUGUACGCCUUUUUCUUCAAGGCCACUUCUUGAGCUUCAUCAUCUACUUUGAAGUAUCCUUUGGCUGAAUUUGGAGUAUCCAUACAAACCAAUAUCAAACGGUUCUAGGGUUUUUGGUUCGUUUGUGUGUGUUUAAUUGAUUAAGUGAUGAUGCGGCUUUAUAGUAGUAGUGGAAUGUGAAUAUUUCUUUGACUCUAUGCGUAAAUUCCUUUUAAGGAAAUGAUGAUUCAUUGUAUGCUGUCAUGAAUUAAUUCAAAUCUAUCUUCAUUAGAUAGUUUCCUUAUUCAGUUUUACCAUAUCUUAAAUUGAAUAUUGUAUAUUCAAAGCAAAAUAUUCUAUCAAGGCUGGCAGAAUAGGAGAAAGUCGAUUUAGUACAUAUAGCAUAUUGGUCGAUCGGUAUUAUUGUAUAAGAAAGGUUAAAAUAUUAAAUGCUCAAUUAAAACAAGUAAGGAGUUUUUCAAACUUCAAAGUCUAAUGAUCUUUUUCUGUUUCUUCAUCGAUGUCAAUUAAUUAUUUUUGGUUAUUUAUCGUCUGAUGUUUGGAUUUUAAUGGGCGGAAAUGUCUUCACAAUAUUUUGGUUAUUUUUGUCUGAUUGAGCAUUUUAAUGAAUGCUUAUGUUUAUGUCAUGAUUUUAUCUAAGAUAUCUACUCUAAUAUUUGUUAUUAAGUCUUACUCUUUUUAGUAUUUACUAUUUGGAAACUUUAAAUGUUUGGGAUAAUAACUUAAUGGUAUAGUUAAUGAGAUAUUGUGUUGAUUUUACAUUAAUUUUGGGAUCAGCUUCUUGCAGAAUACUACAUAACUUUUGCUGUCUAACUUCUAUAUAUACCAUUUGUUGAAAUAUCGUGCUCAAAGAAUAUUUAUUUGUAGGGAGGUUAAUUGGUUCAUUUGUCCUCUAAAUGAUUCAGAUUUCCUUUAUUGGAGGGUGCAUUUUGUCUCCAAUACGAAUGUGUGAUUUCAUGGUCUAGAAAGUCAAUAUAUGAAAAAGUGUUAUUACGGAUAUUCUCCAUAAAGUUGGAAACAAACAAACUUUGGAAACAAACAAACAAACUCUUACCAAAAAAAAAGUUGGAAACAAACAGCUGUUUAAAAGAGAUGGACAAACAGAUUAAUGCCAGAAAAAUGAGCUUGAUUAGAGCAUGGCCAACGGUUGCGUUCUACAUAGAGUUCUAAACCAAUUAGUUAAAUGAAAAAUAAAAAUUGCUGAGAAAUAUAGGAAAAAUGUGUCAAGAGUUCUCUGCACACACUCUUUAAAAAUCGAUUUGGAAUUUUCUUUGCCAACUGCUCACAUGUUACUAGUCUUUUUUUCAACAAUUAAUAAAAUUUUAUUAUCUAAUCAAAAUAUAUUUAAAUAAUAAUAUUUUUACAUUUAGUUAUGCAUUUUGAGUUUCUCUCUGUUAGAAAUGCUCUUAGAAGUUAGAAAGCACGUCUGAAUAUCUAAUGUAAUUAAUAUCUUCUCUCACGCCCUGAAGGCUAACUCAUUUAAAUGAAUCGGGUAACCAACAAAUCCAUGACCAUUAGUUGGAUUACUAACAAGUUUUGUUAAUUGACUAUCUAACAAGUUCUAGACUCUAAUGUCUACGCUAGUAUUCGAUGAUCCGCUCAAAGUACGAAAUAACUCAAGUAAAUUUUACACUUAGUGGUAUUUAUAUCUUUUGUAAGAAAACUCAUAAAUAUUGCAAAGGUUUAAAGGAGGGUCACUGGUACCGGUACCUUAUAAUAGACUUAUGCAUGUAUAGCAAGAUAGUUUCAUCUGUUUUAUAGCACACUGUCUAGACAUUACGAAAAUAAACAAAUAUGAAGAACAAAAUUUCGUUGACAACAAAAAGUGAAUAGAAAGUUCUAAGAGAUUUGUCCAAAAAAAGUUUGAAGAGAAAAACACAUGGUUUUUUAAUCGCGAACAUAAAACAUCACCAUUAUCAAUAGGCAACAUCUCUUAUCUCACAAUUCCAUAUUCUGAAGACCCAAAUUUUCCCAUUCUCUUAUCUCGUUUCCAAUACUACGAUCUAAGACAAAAUUAAAAAAAUAUGUAACGCUAGGAAACAAACAACAUUAUGAUUUAUUUAUUAAAUCAAUAAUUAUUCGACCAACAACAACACCAUGUAGAAGUAAACAACAAUAAUAUCUCACAGACCGAGUGAGAAAGGGAAACCGGUCGAAGCUAACCAGCCUCCACCACCGAUAAACUGACCAGCAGUAUAUGGCUCAGCCUCAGCAGCAUCUGUUAUUACCUUAAAGUCUUUCCACUUCACUCUAUCUCCAGUUCCAGCCCCUGCUCCUGUGUUCGCAUACUCUCUGUAUGUUAAAGUGUUCAACGCAAAAGUUCCGCUCCACUCGAACCACCCUUCGGGUCUGAUCACGUCAGAGAUAUCCGACUGCAUUAUCACCGUAUGCGAAUACUCCUUCCACGGCCGACCAAGAUACGUAGGAAAACUACUUUUCACAGACAGUAAAUCUGACGUGGCACCAAUCCGACAAUUCUGGAUAACUAUCCCGGUGUUCUGGUUAGGGUCAGUUCGUCCUUGGGCUGUGACCAUGUUUUUCUGGCCGGGGCCUGGUCGGCGGGCGUGGAUGUCGCAGUCUUGGAGAACGACGGCGGCGUUUCCGAAGAUGAAGUCGACGGUUCCGACGAUGAGACAGUAACGUAGCCGUAUAGUAGGUUUUAAUCCCGUCGACGCCGUAGUUCUUGCUACCGGAAAUAAUCGUCUUGGACUUGCCGUCGCCGUAGAUCAUAACAUUCCGCAUGUUCUUAUCCAUAAAAACAUUCUCCACAUAUGUACCAGCUUUCACGUAUAUAACAAACGUUGCGUUCGACUUCUUAGGGAUCUUCACCACCGCCUCGUUAACCGUCCACACGUCACCGGAUCCAUCAGCCGCCACAAUCACGUUAGGCUUUACACUCUUCGCCGAAAGUAACCGCCGCGUCCUAGGGCUCACCCAAGAUGGGAACGAGUUUGAACUCAGUAGCCGUCUCCUGUGAACCGGGACACCAAAGUCGCUCAAGGUAGAGAGGAUCUUAGCCACGAUGGCUAGACUGUUGCUGGUGAACUCGGUGGAGUUUUUCAUAGCGGAUGUAAGGUUCUUCGAGACUAUGGAGGUCUUGGACUCUGACUGGUUAGGGCUGAUCUCAGCGAGGGUGUCGAAACAUGUCUCGUAGUACGUUAUGGCUGCGGUGAGCCACGUCUUGAGAUCUUCUAUCUUACCAGAGUUCA
rnacentral:lncRNA from 1 species